rnacentral:rRNA from 1 species
UACAGAGGGGGCAAGCGUUGUUCGGAAUUACUGGGCGUAAAGCGUGCGUAGGUGGUGAGUUAAGUCUGUCGUGAAAGCCCCGGGCUCAACCUGGGAAUGGCGAUGGAUACUGGCUCGCUAGAGUGCGGUAGAGGAGAGUGGAAUUCCCGGUGUAGCAGUGAAAUGCGUAGAGAUCGGGAGGAACAUCAGUUGCGAAGGCGGCUCUCUGGACCAGCACUGACACUGAGGCACGAAAGCGUGGGGAGCAAACAGG